UUGGGAAGCCUGACCUGUCGCACACCCCCAUCGUGGCCCAGCCCACACCAAAGCUUACCCUCAGGGUCUCCAAUUCCUUGCGAGCCUGGCUUAGCUGCUUCUCCAGUUCAGCGAUCUUGGCCAUGGAGUCGUUCUCUGUGUCCCGAAGCCGCUCUGUCAGCUGUGGUACCAGCACAUGGCCCAGACCUCCAGCCUGAGCCAGCUCCCCCCUCUGUCCAGUAUCUCUGAGUUCCCCAUCACCGGCUGAGAUCGGAGCAUCCGACGGGACUGAUGCUCCUGUGUCAAGACCCAGAACCACCUGAGCCUGUUCCAGGACUUCGGUGACAGAUGUUAUAGUAUCCGUCAUGUACCAGGGGCUCCUCUACACAUCUGGAGUCAUUGUCACCUCUGUGAUUGACAGGCAGACAGACUCAGAAGGAUGAACAGAUGCAUACAAGGCUGCGCAGCUACCAAGUGACAGAGCCUCGCAAGUGACAUGACUGCCGGUAUGUGUCACCAAGCCCAGCUUUCAGAGCCGAUGCUCGAACUCAAGACCUGCUAACUACAUACUAAAUACCCCACAGUGAGUAGGCUGUUCAGUCAGGGAUGGGGUACAAGGCUCACCUCCAAGUACAGGUCCAGACCCAGGUAUCUGAGUGCUUUGCUUGCAUGUAUGUAUAGGCAAGCGACCUGGUACCUGCGGAGGUCAGAAAAAUGUUAUCAGAUCCCCCGGCGCUGGAGUUAUGGAUAGCUGUCAAUUGCCAUGUGGAUGCUGGAAUCAAUCCAGGGUCCUCCGCAAGGUCAAGUGCCCUUAACCACUGAGCCAUCUCUCCAGCCCCUUGGAUUUUCGUUGUCGUGAUUGUUGUCAUUGUUUUUACCACUAUGUAGCCAUGCCUACAUGGUGUUCAUCAGGAUCCACCUGCCUCUGCCCCUGGAGUGCUGGAAUUAAAGGUGUGUGCUACUGUG